UGCUGGGUGGAGACCCCAGCGGAGAGAGGUGACCCGCCUGCGGGGCGGUUGGAGGGUGGCACGCUGGUUAGGACCCUAGGGAGCCAGGGUUUACACUCGUGCCUGGGAAGAACUGAUCGGAGGGGCAAACUGUUUCUCUCACGAACACUAUUAACCACACCAGGAAUUCUGAGCCGAAUAACACGAUUAGCAAGGGUCAACUUAUGCUUCAGCCAAGGUCAGUCAGCUCCAGGCAUUGAUCAUCGAAGCUCUUCUGUGACACAGGAGCUGGGAAGUGUCUUCCAUCUUGAUUCUACCCUGGGGACACACCAACCAUUAAUAAGUAAGGUUUCAUCAACACAAGAACAUUUGCUGCUUUGGCUGACAUUGGUGAUCAUUCUCCACUUGAGGAGUGAAAAUGAGUCUACGAAGAAUGAAAUAUUUCAGUGAGAUCCAAGUGUCCCAUGUUUCCCUGCAUAACUGUCUGAAUUAUGCUUUUGACAAAGAAUUUUCUUGUCUUCAAGGGAAUGUUGAAAUGUAGUCUAAUGAGUAAACAUCUGUCCACAGAGGCAAAAAAGCACUUGUAUCAGUGUGAACUAAUAAAAUCUUGUUUUUCUAUAA